rnacentral:rRNA from 1 species
GCAAGUCGAACGGUUGGUAGCAAUACCAAUAGUGGCGCACGGGUGCGUAACGCGUAACCAACCUACCCGAAUCUGGGGGAUAGCCCGCCGAAAGGCGGAUUAAUACCGCAUAAAACGGCAGCCCGGCAUCGGGUCACCGUUAAAGAUUUAUUGGAUUCGGAUGGGGUUGCGUGCCAUUAGCUAGUUGGCGGGGUAACGGCCCACCAAGGCGACGAUGGCUAGGGGAGCUGAGAGGCUGGUCCCCCACGCGGGCACUGAGAUACGGGCCCGACUCCUACGGGAGGCAGCAGUAGGGAAUAUUGGGCAAUGGACGAGAGUCUGACCCAGCCAUGCCGCGUGCAGGAUGAAGGCUUUCUGAGUCGUAAACUGCUUUUACCAGGGAAGAAAAAAGGGGAUGCGUCCUCUACUGACGGUACCUGGUGAAUAAGCACCGGCUAACUCCGUGCCAGCAGCCGCGGUAAUACGGAGGGUGCAAGCGUUGUCCGGAUUUAUUGGGUUUAAAGGGUGCGUAGGCGGCUGAUUAAGUCUGGGGUGAAAGCCCGUUGCUCAACAACGGAACCGCCCUGGAAACUGGUUAGCUUGAGUACAGACGAGGGUGGCGGAAUGGAUACUGUAGCGGUGAAAUGCAUAGAUAGUAUCCAGAACCCCGAUUGCGAAGGCAGCUGCCUAGACUGUAACUGACGCUGAGGCACGAAAGCGUGGGGAGCGAACAGGAUUAGA